rnacentral:rRNA from 1 species
UGGGGAAUAUUGCGCAAUGGGGGGAACCCUGACGCAGCCAUGCCGCGUGAAUGAAGAAGGCCUUCAGGUUGUAAAGUUCUUUCGGUAUUGAGGAAGGUUGAUGUGUUAAUAGCACAUCAAAUUGACGUUAAAUACAGAAGAAGCACCGGCUAACUCCGUGCCAGCAGCCGCGGUAAUACGGAGGGUGCGAGCGUUAAUCGGAAUAACUGGGCGUAAAGGGCACGCAGGCGGUUAUUUAAGUGAGGUGUGAAAGCCCCGGGCUUAACCUGGGAAUUGCAUUUCAGACUGGGUAACUAGAGUACUUUAGGGAGGGGUAGAAUUCCACGUGUAGCGGUGAAAUGCGUAGAGAUGUGGAGGAAUACCGAAGGCGAAGGCAGCCCCUUGGGAAUGUACCGACGCUCAUGUGCGAAAGCGUGGGGAGCAAACAGGAUUAGAUACCCUGGUAGUCCACGCUGUAAACGCUGUCGAUUUGGGGGUUGGGGUUUAACUCUGGCGCCCGUAGCUAACGUGAUAAAUCGACCGCCUGGGGAGUACGGCCGCAAGGUUA